GACGGAGGAUGCAAGCGUUAUCCGGAAUGAUUGGGCGUAAAGGCGUCCGCAGGUGGCAGUUCAAGUCUGCUGUCAAAGACCGGGGCUUAACUUCGGAAAGGCAGUGGAAACUGAACAGCUAGAGUAUGGUAGGGGCAGAGGGAAUUCCUGGUGUAGCGGUGAAAUGCGUAGAGAUCAGGAAGAACAUCGGUGGCGAAGGCGCUCUGCUGGACCAUAACUGACACUCAGGGACGAAAGCUAGGGGAGCGAAUGGG
rnacentral:rRNA from 1 species